UGUGCUUAUGUGCAUACUGUGCUUAUGUGCAUACUGUGCUUUUUGGGGAGGAGGGCAGGUUCAUGUGCAUCCAGGGUUCUUGCUCUUUCCAGGUCAGGAUGAGAAGAAGGCCUAAGAGAGCAUGAACAGGUGACUGAUGCAGGUACAAUAGGAGUUGUCAACUAUCAGGCACUCUGUCCCAGAAGGAGCUGGGAGCUGCCAGAGAGGAGGCUACUUGUUGGGUAGAUCUUCAGACUCAGCGUGGGUGAAGGAAGCACCCUUCCCCUUACCACUCUUCCUCACGGCUGCCCAACAUCCUGUGUUUAAAGACUUGGCUUCUGCUUCCUGACUCAGUUCCUGGUUGAAUGGGACCUUCCAGGAGCCUGCUGGGGUAUAGACCAAGGAGCAAAGGAGAGUUCUUAUUUAAGGGCUUUGCUGGGCUCAUCUGUGGGUCCUGGGUCGUCCUCACAUUCUUGCAGGGCUCGCCCAUGCUCAUGAGCACACAUAGCCAUUAGAAUGUGGUCCACCUUUCUGUCCACUCUAGCCUCCCUCUCUUUGGGUUGAUGGAGCGACCUUACCUGGGCUCUGUGCUCUCCUGUGGUGGAGGCCAUUAGCAUUGGGCUGCUGCUUCCCCGGGCAAGACAUUCUCUCUUUUUUUCUAAAGGUCAAAAGCCCCUGGUGAUGGGGGCACUUUAGGUGUGCUUUGGAUGCUGACCUGUUAGGGCUUUAGGAUGUAGGGAUGAUUUUGAUACUACACUUGAUCUUAGCCAAAAGGCCGAGAAGCGAUUGAUUUUGAGACUAGAAGGGCAGACUACACGCAAGCCAGAGCUUUAUGACCGGCCAGUGAUCCUCAGAUCCGUUGGCUGUUUGAAGACCUGUCCCCACUCCCCCUUUAUCAGGUGACUGCCUGGCUCUGUAUCUUACUCGUCAGCCAAUGAAGUAGCAACAGUGCAUUAUUAAUAAUUGCAAUCAAACAGUGCUUAAUAUGCGCCAGACACAGUGCCGGGGGUUUGCAUGCAUGAGCUCCUUCAAUCCAGAAGAAGCUCUGCCUAGGUGGUAUUAUCCCAUCUCACAGAUGGGAAAACUGAAGUUCUGUGCUAGACAUUGAGACCAAAGCGAAGACAACAGACUUGAGGCUUAGGUAGCACUCUGUCUGGUCCGGUUACAGGCUGCAGGCAGCCUCACUUCCGACCAGCUGCUGUGAGGAACGGAUGAGCUAAUGCAUGUAAGCCCUUAGCAAGGUGCCUGGCACCUAGUAAGCACUCAAUAAACGGUAGUUGUUUUCAUUUCAUUCUUUCAACCUGAGCUCAGCGAGGAGUUCGGCCCACAUUGAUGGGCUGCCGGGGAUUCAGCCACCACACUCUCACUGCCUGGACCUAGUUUGGUGUUCCUGUCCCCCCAAGAGAAGCUCUUCAGUGGUCCAAUGGUAAGAGCCCUGGGCAGCAGCUUGGUGUUUCCAUAGCAUUGAGGCCAGCCUGACUGAGGGAUGAUGUGAGGUUGUUUGGCGUUCCUGUUCUUUUCCCUGUGGUGGUGGAGACUGCUCACAGGAGAAAGGCUGUUUGCUCUGACUUGGUGGUGCCUCUACUGGGCAGCCACGGCUUACCUUGCUCUGGGCCCUGCUCUCCCCAGCCAAGUUCUCUACUUCUGUUGUACGUCUCAGGAACCCUCGGUUCCCCCACAAGUGGAUGAUUUCGGAGUAGAGCAGAAUAGAGAAAACAAACCUUAAGCUUCGUGUACCACCCAGAAGCCUAAGAGCCCUGCCUGAGCGCUGACAGCGUAACCACUCCCCCUCUUCCCUCUCUGUCUGGUUUCGUUUGUUGUUUUGAGACAGAGUUUCUUCAUGUGUAGCCCUGGCUGUUCUGGAACUUGCUCUGAAGACCAGGCUGGCCUCAAACUCAGAGAUCUGCCAGCCUCUGCUAUCCAGGUGCUGGGAUUAAAGGUGCCACCACCACCUGGGUUUUCUUUCUUAAAAGGACAGGUUAGAGCAGGCGACCAUUGAGGACAGGUGACGUGAGUGUUUGUUCUAGAUUAGCAACAAAUCACAUAGAUUGGGUUUUUUUUCCCCUACAAGAAGAGAUUUAUUGAGAGGAACACAUAGGUUGUUAAUCAUGGAGAGAUAUUUAAUUCAGUUUUCUGAAUAGAUACUGGGAAUUGGGGGGGAGUGAGUCUGUCUGUCUGUCUGUCUGUCUGUCUGUGGUCUUCACCUUUAUUGAGUGGCAUUGGCUAACAUGACCCAGGAGAUUCUCACACUCUGUUAGUAGUAAGGGGGAACUUCUGCUCCAGCUGUGGAGUGUCCCGGGUGUUAGUGAGGCCCAUAGGCCUGUUGCUGGGGUUCAGAUAUGGAGCUCCUCUUGUUCUUCUGCACUUGUGUUUGCCAGCCCUGAUCCCUCCUUUGCCAUGCCAUCUGAUGGACAGGCAGUCCUUUUAUCUAGAGGGAAAAGUCUGAUGCCAAUAGAGGUCCUGAGUGCUGCUCUCCCAGGCUCUGGCCAGGCCCAGCUCCAUAGCUCCUGAACGAAUGUCCGAGUUCCCUGAGUGUCUGAGAAGGCCUAACCACACAGCCACCUGCUCUAAGUUACACUGUUUUUAGGUCUCACCUCAGCCCUUUCUGCUUUCCUUACUAGAAUACCCUUUCCUCAUCCACCAGGUUUGUGUGCUGGUUCAACGGACUUUUCUCAAAGGAACACUGAGGUAGAAAGAGGGUGAGAAUGUUUUUCCAGUGAGUUGAAUGUGCAUACAUGUUUAUGAGAGUCCUCUGUAUGAGCUUUCUUCUCGCUCAUUGGUUUGUCUCAGGCCACACUGGGAGGUGUCUAGGGCUGAACAUAGGGGAGAGAAUGGAGACAAGGGAGCCACUCAGACUCUGGGGGCAGCAACUCUUCAUCUGGCUCGGACUCCUGAGAGCCACAGGAACAGCAACAGGACCCAGAGCAGUAAAAGGGGUUGGGAGUCACACAACUCAAGGUAGACUCAGACCAGUGCAGUGCUCCUGGUGGCCAUAGGGACCAGAAAACACCUUAGGAAAUCUCUCCAUCCUGGGAGUUGUGGAGAGCUCACUGGCCUCUUCUAGAGUCUGUGAACCCAAAUCUCUGCUGAUGUUUAAACACUUUCCAAACAGCAGCAGGGAUCACAGUGGCAGACAGGACACACACCCCAGGCUGUUUCUCAGCCUCUUCCAUUGUGCGGAGGGAAUACUUACUUCACUUAACGCACAGUGCCUGGUGGCUUUCCUGCCCUCAGACCUGGGCAGUGGCACUCAGUCCCUGGCUGUGUGAAAUCCAUGUGGCAGUCCUCUGGUCUCCCCAGACAGGCAUGUGCGUGUGUGUUCUGUCCAGCCCGGGCUUCACCAGUCAGUGUUGCCACCACGUCCGACCUUUCUCUCUGCACUUAGGAUUGGUGUUCACCACACCCGUAGAUUCCUUUCAACGCAGUAUAAGAAUGUGAUAUAUUGUAUAUUGGAAAGUAUUUACCUUAUUUAUAUACCUGAAUGUUCCUAUUAAACAAAUAAACAUAUACUAAAUUCUA
rnacentral:lncRNA from 1 species